rnacentral:tRNA from 1 species
AGGAGUUUAGGUUAUUUAGACCAGGAGCCUUCAAAGCCCCAAGAAGAUGUUAGUUAUCUAACUCCUG